UCUAUUCACCGCCACCAGCCCUUCUUCCCUAACCUUUCCCAAAACCCAGCUUUAGAAAAACUAAAGAAAGAAAGAAAAACAAGAAAGAAAGAAAGGGAGAAGGAGAUCCGAGAGGGAGAGGGGCACCGGUGGAAAGGGCAUCGCGCCGUAAAGGGCAUCGCGCCGUCACAGCUGUCCGUGCCGCCUUCAUCAUUGCCGACGGAAGCCAGCGCCAUCAGUGUCACUCCGAUUCUUUUCAUCGCCGCUGUUGUGCUCAUAGGCGUGGAAGAAAUCCGCCGCCGUCAGCUGUAUCGUCGUCACCACGUUCUGUUUCACCGUCACCUUCGCAGAGGUCCAAGCGCCGGAGAUCUACGCCGCCUCUGCUACCCGAAACCACGCUGCUGCCGUCGCACAAACCAGAAGAGGAGGAGAGCCAUCAUGUGCGUGCAAAAGGGAUGUCGAAGUUGUUGCAUGUGGAGGAGAGGAACGGCGUCGCGGUUGGGGCUAGGAUCUUCUGCCGCCGCUGGGUUACCCACUUCCAUCGCCGUUUUGAAGUUGUCAGGCCACCACGAGGAUCCGACGCGAGGAGAGGAAAACAGAAAUGCAGACGAAAGAGAGAAAAAGGAGUCACCGCUGCUGCCGUAGCCGUUGUCGGAGUUCUUAGAUGCCGCUGCUGCCGUUGCUGCCGCUGAGGUUUUCCGCCAUCACCGAAGCCGUUGUGGGGACAGUUUGGAGCUGCUGCCAUUGCUUUAUCUCCAUAUUUCUCCUUUGUUAAGUUCGAGUUCUGGUUGUUGCGUGUCGCGCUUAGAGUUGCGGUUGUUGCUACGAAUAGUGGAUAAAGCUGAGUUUACGGCUGCUGCUAUCGCUGGCAGAGGAAAAGGGGUUUUUUUGACGAAUUUUGGUUUUGCGAGUUUCGACUUUGAGGAACCGGAUGAAGAAGCAUUAAGAAGAGUUAUACUGCGUUUGGUUUAUAUGUUGUUGUAUUAAUUAGUUUAUUUUUUUCCCUCGUCUUUGUUAUUACCAGUUUGUAAGAGGGGUAGGAAUUGUAUGUUUUAUAUGUAUAUUAUAUUAUGAAUUAUUUUGUAAGGAGUCUUGUAUAUGAAUCUAUGCCUGCUUGUAUCUUUCUUAAGAUAAGGUAUUAAUUUUCGGUUUUCAAAGAAAUCAGCGAUACAGUGUCGAGUCACGGGCUCCUAUGUUAGUAUUUAGUAUGUAAAGUAGUCGUAAUACUUCUUACUAUCAGAGUAGCGCAGCCGAAAGCGUGACUUGUGAUAGUGAGGGUGUUACAUUAUGGUAUCAGAGCCAUCUUUCCUGUAGAGCCUGAGGAAUGGACCGGUUAUGCUUCAAUUGCAUACUCUGAGAGUCUGAGAGUCUGUCAUGUGGUAGGUCUCACGGGCUCCUAUGUUAGUAUUUAGUAUGUAAAGUAGUCGUAAUACUUCUUACUAUCAGAGUAGCGCAGCCGAAAGCGUGACUUGUGAUAGUGAGGGUGUUACAUUAUGGUAUCAGAGCCAUCUUUCCUAUAGAGCCUGAGGAAUGGACCGGUUAUGCUUCAAUUGCAUACUCUGAGAGUCUGAGAGUCUGUCAUGUGGUAGGUCUUGUUUGAAUAACGAGAAUUAGAGUUUUAUGUACAUGAUGGUCUAUUGAUUAAUGCCAUUAGUCUUGCACUGCAUAAUUCCUGGUAUUAAGUUUGGUCGGCUUAACAGUAGUGAAUUAUGUAUAUUGUAAGCAUUAAUGGGUUAUCAUAGGCGAUAUGCGAGUCAUAGAUAAUGCGAAUCGCGGGUUCUAGGAAUGUCAGAAACUAAGUUCUAGAGAUUAGUUCCAUUUCGACGU